UGGUCGGUCGCCGGAACCCUACUACCGUACUACGCGCCCGCGGUGACCUCGCCGCCGAUGCCUAAGGAGCAGCCUCGCCUCCGACGGCGGCGAGGAUGAGGACUCGCGCCGCGCGCGCGGCAGGCGGUGGAGCCGAGGAGCGGGCCCGCACGCGCGGAACGACCAUACUUAACUGGCACUUAGGCUCAUAUCCCUUCUGUCACCUCAAUGGUUCUAGAGAACAUAUAAAGAAGAAGCUCUCCGCUGAAGGAUAUGCAACUCAAGCCAAGCCAUGGGCUGUGACAUGGAAUCAGAAGAACCAAUAUCCUCACCACAAAGCAAGAAAAGUUGGCUCAGAUACUCCCAUGUCAAG